CCUACGGGUGGCUGCAGUGGGGAAUAUUGCACAAUGGGGGAAACCCUGAUGCAGCGACGCCGCGUGGGUGAAGGAGGAUUUCGGUUUGUAAAGUCCUUUCAGCAGGGAAGAUAAUGACGGUAUCUAACGAAGAAGCCCCGGCUAACUCCGUGCCAGCAGCCGCGGUAAUACGUAGGGGGCAAGCGUUAUCCGGAUUCACUGGGUGUAAAGGGAGCGUAGACGGCAUAGCAAGUCAGGAGUGAAAGCCUAGGGCUCAACCCGAUGACUGCUCUUGAAACUGUUCGGCUAGAGUGCCGGAGAGGUAAGUGGAAUUCCUGGUGUAGCGGUGAAAUGCGUAGAGAUCAGGAGGAACACCAGUGGCGAAGGCGGCUUACUGGACGAUAACUGACGUUGAGGCGCGAAAGCGUGGGGAGCAAACAGGAUUAGAUACCCCAGUAGUC
rnacentral:rRNA from 1 species